rnacentral:piRNA from 1 species
CAUCGCCGUUUGCAGCAAGCAGCAUGGAC